rnacentral:rRNA from 1 species
CAGUAGCGCGGUAAUACGAAGGGUGCAAGCGUUAAUCGGAAUUACUGGGCGUAAAGCGUGCGUAGGCGGUGAGUUAAGUCUGCUGUGAAAUCCCCGGGCUCAACCUGGGAAUGGCAGUGGAUACUGGCUCGCUAGAGUGUGUCAGAGGAUGGUGGAAUUCCCGGUGUAGCGGUGAAAUGCGUAGAGAUCGGGAGGAACAUCUGUGGCGAAGGCGGCCAUCUGGGACAACACUGACGCUGAGGCACGAAAGCGUGGGGAGCAAACAGGAUUAGAUACCCCGGUAGUCCCUGUCUCUUAUACA